CUUUCAUUCUGAAGUGCUACAAUUUUAUGGAGAAUCUCUCUUUUAACUGACCUAAUUAACUGGAAAGAUUUCCUGGAAUUUCCUGGAAUUUUCCUGAAAACUUCUUGGAGGCCAACCUUUUUCUCCUGGCAACUAUUCCCCAGAACAUGUAGUCAGUUACAACAUUUUGCAGGAAUCACAAUGUCUCUGUGAUGCUUGUUCCUCCAGCUGGCAGUCUUUAUUGAACUGACAUUCUUGAUUUUUAUGGUUGCCAGUUAGACAGCAACAUGGUUCACAAAUUUGAAUCUCACAAACUUUUCUGAAUCAACCUCAUUCAGUUAUGAAUUCAGAAGUUGGUCUGCAUACUGCUAGGCUUUUCCCCCACCUCUUCCUUCCUAAAGUCUCUAAAAUGCCACUCUUGAGAAGUGAACAGCUGUCAGGAAUUGCAUGUAAUGCAGCAUAAGUGAUAUAACUUCACAGGAAUCAAGAAAGCAAGUACACCUCUUUAACUUUCAUUUAUGCAGAGAGAUUUGGAUUAACGUUAGG